rnacentral:tRNA from 1 species
AUUUAUAUAAUUUAAUAAAAAUAUUAAUUUUGUAAAUUGAAUAUACUUAAACUAAGUUAUAAAUA